UGGUGCCUGUGUGUGUGGUCCCGAUAUGUAUUCCACUAACCACCCUCCUUCCUCUCUGCUUUGGAUCAUCUUUGCGUUUGUGAUGGACAAGGACCUGAACAGGUGGUUGGUCUUCUCUGCCCUUUAUCUCCUCAGUCAGAGGCACAAGUGAGCACGGAUGCACGGUGUAGGCUAAUGGGCAGUGGAAUUCAGAUAGGGUCCACAUAUCUCAAAGAAUCUCCAGUUACUAUAAGGUAAGUAACUUUCUCUGGCUUGUGACAUCUUUCAGAUGCUUUCAAAAAAGCACCACUGUGUCUUCCCUGUAGUGUUUAAACAGAUGACUGGUAAAUCCAGAAGUUUCUUGACUUUGUUAAUUUCAGAAACUGUCACUCUGAACACUAAAUGAUAUCCAUUAUUUAGAGGGGGGACAAGGAGCCAGAAUUUCUGGGUUCUGUUCCUCGUUCUGUCACUGGCUUGCUUUAUGACUUUUUGCAAGUUACUUAGGUUAACAUUUCCAAACUUGGACACCUACAUCCAGUGAAGUCACUGGGCGCUAUCAAGCCUCAGUACCACUGAAAAUCAAAUAACUUAUUAGGUGCCCAAAUUUAGACUUCCAAGUUUCAACUUUAACUUAAACUUCUUUGUGCUUUAAUAUACACACUUGCAAAAUAGCAGCAUGUGUUGUGAGGCUUAAUUAAUUUUUGAGACCCUCAAAUGAAAGACUCUGUUAUCUUAAUGACAGCCAUGGUAGGAUCACAGAGCUUUUGAGUCUGGGAACUAUAUCUUUUUUUCUUUGGGUGGGUGAAUUUUAGAGUAGAAUUAAUGGCUGCUGGCUCGUACCAGACACAGUAGAAACAAGAAUGUUACAGCACCUGGCGCUGCUGUAAGGACCAACCUAGGGGCACCUCUGGGAGGUGUUGGGAGGUUGGAAGCGUACUGGCUUGAGAAGGUGGAAGAAGGAGGAUUGAUGGAUUUGAAGGACAGAAGGCGUAUGGAAGGCGUUGAGUUUUGGUGGAGAGAAGAGGAAUGGGAAGUAUGAAACUGGUGGAUUUUGGUGUGGGGAAGGGAAGUAUGGGGAUGAUGAGACUUUUGGAGGGACUAGGAUUUUUCUCUGGAAAUGCCCUAUAUUAUUGACUAGAGUUGACCGUUUUUCAGGGAGCUCCUUGUUGUUAGCAUUUUGACAGCUCAUCACUGGUUUCUCCCCACUCUGUCUUUUAAAUUGUGUCUCGUGUUCAGUGCGUCUUACAGUGGGACCCUGAUUCUAGUUGGAGCCCCUGCAAUCUGCCACAACAUAAUAAAUAAAAAUGAAUAAGCCUUAACCUUUAAACUACUCUUUGAUUACUUCACUGAUAUAUUGUGGGGGUACAGGAUUUCUAGGAAAGGUGUGUAGAAGUUUACAGUGUUCUGUGUGAUUAUAAUAAAAGAGGAGGAGGAGAGGGAGAGAAGAAUAUAACUGGUUUUCUUUGCAGUUUGUUGAUAAACACGGACACAAAACUUGUCUCCUUUUUGCUUCAGAAGUGUGUGUUGUGCUGCGAGUUGUGUUCCAAGCUCCUGUUUUGUCCUGUGCUGAGGAACCUUGGCUAAUUUUAAUCAAGGCUGAACUGUCAUUCUGGUUCAUCAGUGUCACAUUAGCAUCAUUCCCGUUCAUCCAUGUCUUAGCAGCAAAUCUGAAAUUGCUGAUUAUUAAAGUGGAUGGAAAUCACAGCUCUGUGUGUGGCCAAAUAGCUAUUCAUCAGUUGGGUUUUUGACGGCGGCUGAUAGUUUAAUGCAGGUCUUAAUCAAGGGCUUCCAAGUAUUUUCUUUGCUGGUUUUAAACUUCACUGUAUUGAAUUACAUUAACACAUACACAGACAUGUUGUUGUUUUAACAUUAAGCCUAUGUUGUUUUAAUAUUAAGCACCUGCUUUAAACAUAUCUGAGCAGUGACAUUCUAAAAUCAGUUGCUUGCUUCCUUUUUGUUAGGCUGUGCUAGGGAGACAAAGUAUCACUGGCACCUAAGAAGAACGGAGAGAUUAAGGAAGGGGGAGAAUCAUCCUGUGGGGAGUGUGAGCUCUUGUGUUUGGAGCAGGGGCCCCUGUGCCCAGACACUAUCUGUUCUAUUCACUGCAGAGUUAACUCAGGCUCUUACUCAGAUGUUACCAUUAACUCCCAUCCUACCCACAUACAAAUCCCUCUCACCUAAGUAUUGUGAUGCUUUAAACCCAGGCUUGCUGGUCCAGUGGGAGUGUGCAUUGGAAUUCAGUACAGCUUAUACUUGGGCUAUUAACUCAUGCACUUCUCAGUGAGCAUGCAGGCUAAACCACUUAAGGGCUGGUAGUCACCCAGUGCCUUCUCAGAAUUCUACUUGUGUGCCAAGAAGGACAGACAAGUUUUCCCAUUUUUCACUGGGAAAGAAUCAUAGGGCAUGUCUCCACUUGGAGCUGGAGGAGGAUACAUACCCAUGCUAGCUGUGAUGGGUUAGUGUGCUAAAAGAACAGUAGAUGGGAUGGCAGGAGCUAACUGCCCUGAGGACAUACCUCGUGACUUGGAUAGGUAUAUACUCAGGGUAGCUAGUCCCUCCUGGUGUUUGCCUGUACUCUGUUCUUAGCACACUAGCUCAAUCAGAGUUAGAGUGAAUAUGUUGUCUUGACCUGGAAUUUGCACUUCAGCUCCAAGUGGAGACAUUCCCACAGAGCGGCUCAGCCUACUCAGCACAAAAAAAAUGGGAUGUGCCCCCAGAAAUCCUAGUGACUAAGGUGAAUACAGCACCAAUGGGAACACUAACUCAGGUAUAACUUUGCAGUGUUGCUGCUCACAGGUAGGCAAGGCUAGGGUGGUUACUUAUGGCUUGUCUACACUACCAGCCAGAUUGACAGGCAGCGAUCGAUCCAGCGGGGGUCGAUUUAUUGUGUCUAGUAUAGACGCAAUAAAUUGCCCGCUGAUUGCUCUAGCGUCGACUCGGGUACUCCAUCUCAACGAGAAGCGCAAGGUGAAGACACCGCGGUAAGUAGAGCUAAGGACGUCGACUUCAGCUACGUUAUUCACAUAACUGAAGUUGCAUAACUGAGAUCGGUUCCGCCCCGUAGUGUAGACCAGCCCUUAGAUUUGGGUUCCAAACUGAGUUAACCCUGCAAUAAAGACAGGGCCGUCCUUAGGAUUUAUGGGGCCCUAUCCACUAUUAUUAAACUGGUGUCCCAUGCCCAAUGGCAGUCCCAGCUCGCAUGUGUAUUUUAGAUAAGGGUGGUCUUUUGAAGGUUUCAUUU